AUGGAAACGGGGUGGGGUAUUACCGUACCUAGUAUAAUCUCACUUAUAGCCAAGCUAUUGGUAGAGUCUGAGAAUGGUGAGAUGUAGACAAGCCUUACUACUAUCCCAGGGAUAAAGAGACUGCUUCCAGUGAGACCCUCAACCUUUAAACCGUAUCCAAAUGUAAGAGUCGAAUAAACAUACAGAAGUAUAUAACACAAAUGUAAGUGAUAACACACAUAAAAUAAUAUUUAUAAUAAUACCAAGCCUCUAAUGAAUAAUAUUAACAAUACAACUCUAGAAAAUGAUAAAAAAAAAAAAAAAAACAUACUUCAACUAAUUUUAAUAAUUAUUUUUUACUUUAUAUUUAAAUAAGAAAGGUUCCACCUAAUAACACAAGGAAGGAAGGUUCUACCUAAUUAAUGACUCGAGAAUAGAUUCUCAAUCAAUGGAUAAUGAAGUUAAUUCGUUCACAAUUAAAAAAAAGCCAUUUUUUCUGCUAUAAUAUAAGCUAGAUGUCCAGAUGAUUCAGUAGCUUAUAAUUAUAAUGCUAAAAACAACCACAAUAUUACAAAACUAAGGUUAAUUAAAACGAC
rnacentral:lncRNA from 1 species